rnacentral:lncRNA from 1 species
UUUUUUUUUUUUGUUAUGAGUCUUUAUUAUGAGUCCCCUUUGAAUUAUAAACAUAUAUAUCAUGGCUAAUUCCAAGGGGAUUCCUAAUAAAUUUAACAUGUGAAGAUUUUUUUUUAGGCUUGCUUUGGAUAAACAUAUAGAGGAUGUAAUUUUACAUGUUGCAUACGAGGUUUCAAGAUGUCUCUAUCACACCAAAUUUUACUUUAAUCAUGACACACCAAAAUUUGCAAACAAAAAAAUAACUUAAUUAGUUCUCUAGUAAAGAUGAUAUCAAAGAGUAAAGAUGGUAAGACAUUUUAAAAUUUUAGCAAACACAUAUAUACAUAGAGUUUGAAAAUUCACAGAAGAAAAAUAUAAAAAAAUAUAAUUAAUAGUAAAUAUGAACUUAUAACUUUAAAAAUAUAAUGAUUUAACGCUAAAAUUAUCGAAGAUUGAACAUAUAAUAUUUAAAUUUUGAAUUUGUCUCCAGAAAGCUUUUAUUAUAAGGAAUGAGAAACUUAGAAGUCUUUUUUAUUCAUCUAUUUGGCUUAAUAUUUUUCCUUACCAUAAUUUCAACAUAAGUAAUAGUUUUUGUGUUUUCAAGAUUUAUUUGAUUUAUUGAUGAUUUACUUUUACAUAAUAAAAUUCUAGGUUAGUUUUUAUUUCAAAUUUAAUGAUAAUUAAGUGCUAAAUCAUUUUCUAAAAUACAGUCAGCUUAACUAGAUAUAUCACAAAAACAAGGAGUUUUGAAAAAUAAAAAUGAAAAUUCAACAUGACAUUUUAAGGAUUUGAUGUUACAACUUCUAAUUUUAAUUAUUAGGUGAUUUUAAAUUUACAUAACAUUUAAUUUAAAAUAUAAAAUAUACUAUAUUGAGAGGAUAAAGGUAGAAAUAGUAUAUUUUAUAUAUGAAUAUAUCAUCAAAAUUUCAUUAUCCCUUAUCCGUCCAAUCCGUUUAAGUUUGAGCAGGUUAUUGACCCGUUCAUUUAUUAGCUCAACUCAUUUCAACCCAUUAAAAAUUAGGUUAUUAUGUAACUCGAAUUGGCUCAUGAAAAAUCUUGUCAAAAUAUUUUUAAUUUGAUAUGUUGUAUAGUCAUAAUUAAAAAAAUAAUAAAAAAUUAUUAGGUACUAAAAUUGUUUAAAGGAAUAAAUAAAAUAAUUAAGCUUGGUAAAAAUUGGAUUGAGUUGGGUCUUGUCAAUAAUGUAACCCAUUACUUAAUCCAUUUUGAUCCAACCCGUUUGACCCAAGCAAAUUUGGGUUGAGUUGAGUUAGAUUCAAUUGUUAUCUCAACACAUUAUGACCCGUCCAAAUUUGACUCAACCCGCCCAAUUGUCACCCAUACCUUCCUUCCCCUAAUUGACAUCCCUAUUUUUAGUUUGAUGAUAUUGAAUUUUUAAUUAAUUCAUUUUGAUUAUUUUUUUUCAAGCUAAGCUUGGAUUGUUAAAAGUAUAUCAUUUUGAUUUUUUAUAUUCUUUUUUAUGUCUUUUUCUUUUCGAUGAAAACCUUUAGACAAGUGAUUUAAAAUUAAAUUAUGAUGAAUUUAAUGAAAUUCACUUUAUUUUCCUUUCUAAUUGUAGUUUUAGUAAUUUUUGCUUUAUAGGGACAUUGUUGGUAAGGGUGAUAAUUGGGUGGAUUGGGUUAAAUUUGCGUGGGACAUAAAGAGUCAAAAUCCAAUCCAACCCAAAUUUUCUUCGGUCAAAAGGGAUCAAGUAAUGGGUCAUAACCCAAUCUGUCAAAUUUUUACUAUUUUUAGUUAUUUUAUUUUUUCUUUUUAAAGAUUUUAGUACCUAAUAAAAUUAUUAUCAUUUUUAUUAGGACUAAAUAUAACAUAUCAAAUUUUAAAAAAUUAAAAUAUUUUGUCAAGAUUUCUCAUUAGUCAAUUUUUAUUACUUAUCAACCCAUUUUUAAUGUACUGAAAUGAGUUGAGCUAAUCAAUAGGUGAGUCAAUAACCCGCCCAAACCUAAACGGAUUGUGUUUGAUUUUUCCACCUCUAAUUGUUUUAGUGGUGAGAGUGAGAGUGUGUGUUAGGGGAAGUAAAGAAAUAAAAAUUAAUUUCAAUAGAGAGAUGUAAAGAAAGUGUGAUAAACAUUCCAAAUAAAGAAGAGUCAGAUAUACAAAACACUUACCUUUAUUGGCAAUAUUCCUUAGAGUUGUUCGAUCAAAUCUUUAGUUUAGGCCUUGAAUUGAUAAAUCCUGAAAAUUAGAUUAAAAAACUCAUAUCGACAUGCUUAAAUUGAAAAUAGCGAUGAAUCAAAUGAUAACUUACUUGUGCCAAAUCUUGGAGUUGUUGGUGGAAGGCCUUAGAUUGAAGCCUUAAAAUCGAAAAUAAUAAUAAAAAAAUCAUAACUUAGAUCUCUGAUUGUCAUUCUCAAGUGUUUGACACAUGCACAAUAGAAGGAUAUAAAAAACAAAGGAAUGAAUUGGAUGAAAGAUGAAAAGAAUAGGUGGACAUACCAAUGCAUAGUGAAAUUGAUGAAACAGGAGCGGCUACUAGGGUUUUCGAUGAACUUGAGUUUUAUAGGAUAUAAGAAUGUAUCAAUUUUACUAAAACACCCUUAUUAACUCUAAAAUUUACUCAAAAGCUUAGAUAUUAACGAAAAGAUCUAUGAAUGUGUUGUAGAUGACGUGUAUUGACAUCAUGUUCAUGUUUAUCUUUGACACGUGCAAAUCGUAAUCUUUGAUAAAGUAAACAUGGUGUGUUUUACAAGGAUCUACAUUAGAAAAGAUGCAACAAACGUAGUAUGAGUACAAAACCUCAAAUACUCAAUAGUUUGACAGAGCAAAGGUAGCAACUAUAUCAUAUAAGGAUUAUUAAAUAAGCCUACACGCAGAAAAGUUCUAGUAGUUCAAACAAAGUAAUUAGAGGCAAAAUAACAUAUAAGAGCAUGAUAUGUAAUGCAAUACAAGGCAAUGACUAAUGAUCCUAUCGAUAUGCACCCCUUAAAAGUGGUUUGUUGUGAGGUGGGAUCCAUGGAGGAUUCGCGAAAUCCAUAUAUCAUGUUUGGACUUGGACUGAGACUUUUAUAUAUCCAACCUAGGUUCGAAUCAGGGCUUACUAUAUAGAUGUGAGCGAACUUGAACCAGGUCUUAAAAAUAUUUUUCUCAGAUUUAAAAUUUUCUUUCAAAAACACAUCUAUUGUAAUGACCUGACUUGGUCAUUAUGAGUAGGCCAAUAGUGAAAGAAUUUAGGUCAGAAAACUUUCCGCAGGUAGUGACUUAAAUUUUUUUAGCUAGGCACGCCUCAUACAGAAUCUGGGCUAGGUGAGGUCUAAGGCCAUCCAAGAAUCGGUGGGGUGUAAUGUUGAGGUUUGAUUGAUAAUUUCUUGUAGCUAAGACAUUAAGGAGUCCAUAGGGCUUUUCAAAAUUUAAUUUAGGUAUGUAGAACUCCUGGAAUUGAUCUUGGUAUGGAAGGGAUAUGUCGGGACAUCAAGAGAAUGUGUUGUGUUGUGAAAAAGUGACCCUUCUCAAAUUCCUGAGUUUCUAAAGUUUCGCCUAUGUUAUAGCGGGGUAAGUUCUGCUUACAGCGGAGAAAAUGAGAUUUUAUACGGAAACAACUCCAAAAUUCCUAUUUUCUUUAGUUUUUGCUCUUGGACUUGGGAGGGGCUAUUUUGGGCAGUUUGUACUAUUUUUUCCAUAGAAUUCGUUGGUAAAUGUAAGAUUUUGACUCCCUAACCUUUUCCAUUGAUUCUUAAGCCUUAGAAUCUAGGUUAUUGCCUUUGGAAGAAGGUUUUGACAUGAUUCCACAGUGGAAAAAGCCUUAAGUUAUGGAAGAUGAUCAUAUAUAUUGGCCUGGAUUUAUUGAUAAUCCGGAUAACUAAUAGGUCAUUAGUGAUUGAUUGUUAUUUUUAUUGUUUGUUUUUUUACCAAGAACAGACCAAGAUACUUCAAAAAGGGGGAAACUCAUGUUCUUUAGAGUUUCCGAGAGGCUUAGUUCGAGGUAGGUAAUAGUUGUAUGUUUUUGAUUUAUAUAUGUAUGUAUGCAUGUCUACUGUUUUAUAGUAUCAUUUGUGCAAUACAUGAUAGGGAAUACAUAGGAAUACAUAUGAAAUGACAUCAUGUUUAUAAUCUCAUGCAAUGGGUUUGUUGUGACUCGAGGUUUUCAAGAGGUGAUAUUCAUUGUAUUUGUGAUUGUGGAUGAUUGUUGGUUGGUUCAGGUACCAUGUUGGUAAACUAACACCACGCCAGUAAACUAACCAUUUGAGUUUGGUUUUCGUGACCAGGUAUGUGAUUGUGGUUCUAUGAGAGAAUCGGACAUUUGCAUUUGUGAUCGUGUGGGACAUGUAUCUAGGUAUUUUUGUUUCAUGAUAUGUGACUAGGAGUCUAUGUGAUUUAAUAACUAUUGUUAUAUGUAUUGUUCUAUGAUACUGCUUUGUGGUGAAUUGUUUACAUUCAUAUCUUGGACUAGCCGCAUGAUUCUCACAGUACACUAUGAUAUUUUUACUAAAAUUGCACCUGUUCUUUCCUUGUUAAGUACAGGACAUCUUCUAGAGGUUGAUCUGAUACCUCAAAUAAGGGGCGUCUGACUUCAAAUACAAGGGUGAUCUACUCUUUCAGGUUGUCAUGAGUUCUUUCUACAUCUUCUUGUCCAUCUUUUUGGACACAUACUGUAACACCCCAGAUUUUUUUUUAACUAAGACUCGAACCAUUCUUCGUAGUGAGUGAGAUUUUACCAAGGAAUUUAAAAUUUUCCUAAGUGUUAAGGUAACUAGAUAUAGCAUAUUGAGUUCCAAAAAGAACUAAAGAGAGUUCAUUCAAAUCCUUCUUAAGUUCCUUUAAGUUUUGGGUCAACUUCAAACGACUAUAACUCCUAGAACAAUAUGAGUUAGAUGGGCUACAAGAUACAAUAGGAAAUAUCUUUGAGUUAUCUUUCUAACUCCAUCGAGUUUGCUAAAUUUCGAGCUCUAAGUAAAAAGUUAUGAAUGAUUUACUAACGACUCCCAAAGCUGGCAGCAACUCAGCGAUGGCUCCGCGUUACGGAGCCAAUACGGACCUCACUGCCUACUGAAAAAUUACUCCGACUCCCAGCUCAUUUUAUUUAUUUUUAAAGGGUAUUUUGGUCCUAAAAACCCUUAAGAGGUCAUCUAAAUUACCCUAAACGUGUAGAAAAAUCAGUUUUCAUAAAUUAAACCCUCUCAUUCACACCUAAAAUUCUACGCUCAAGAAAUUCAAGAAACGCUAAGGCUAGGGUUCAUCUUUCAAGAUUUACCUUCAAGUUGAUUACCCUAAACGUGUAGAAAAAUCAGUUUUCAUAAAUUAAACCCUCUCAUUCACACCUAAAAUUCUACGCUCAAGAAAUUCAAGAAACGCUAAGGCUAGGGUUCAUCUUUCAAGAUUUACCUUCAAGUUGUUUCAAGAAGAUGGUUCUUUCAGGUAUGUAAGCUUCCAUAGUGUUGUAUUUGUUCACCCACAUGCCAAUCAUGUUAAUUUCAGCGUUAAAUUCGUUCUAGAAAGUUGAAGGUUUGAUGUUCUUGAAUUGUGUUCUUGAAAUUGUCUUUUGUUCUUGAGUUUAGAUGAGAUUCAUGAGAAAAUCGUGUCGAUUUUAGAGUUGUGUUUGAUUAUAUUCUUGUGUACAUGUAUUGAGUAUCUGAAUCUAAAGAGAAAUUGAGAAAAAAAAAAUCGAAUUUAGGCGAAUUGGGGUUAGAAAACGAAGAAGGAAAAAGUCGGGUGAAUAUGGUACUUCACUCCACGUCGCGGACCUGCCCUCCCUAUGCACAAAAUCAUUCUCCGUGUCACGUAGAGGUCGUGGACCCCUCUGCCUCAAAAUUUAUUUCGUGAUCAAAUAUUAAAAUGCAUCUCCGCGUCGCGGACUUGCUUCCAGACAGUGAUUUCUUGAUCGUUUCUCAUGUUUAACUAUGUAAAAGCACUCCUAAACAUCACGAGAUCUUUCAUAUCACAAAUCAUAACCUUGAAUUUAUAAUUCAAAUUCAAUGUAGAGUUAAGAGGUAAGUCAUGAGAGUUCUUUCGAAUAUUUCAAGAAAGCCCCUUUUUAGUCUUGUUGAGGAGUCUUCUACAAAUUCAAAUAACUUGUUUCAAGACUCAAACAAGUGGAGGAGAAUGUAUUCAUGAGUCUACUUUAUCACAACGAGAUCCUUCAUAUCAUGAACCAUAACUCUUGAAUUCAUAAUUCACAUUCAAGAGAGAGUUAAGAGUAGAGUUCAAGAAAGCUUUUGAGUUCAAUUAUGAAUCCUUUGAGAUCCAUUAUCGAUUGAGCUAAGUUUUGAAGAAGUAAGUAUAAGAAUGAGAGGAGUCAUAUACACGAGUUCCAUAAUGUUCUUUAGACCCUUGAGUCGAGUCGUUCAUGCUCAUAAACUCCUCAUGAAGAUCCAUACAUUGAGUACCUUUGAGAGGAGUAGUAUCUUCAAGUUCUAAGUCUUGAGUAUUAAGUUCCUAACCCUUUUGAGAUUUUAUUCCUAAUCAUGGGACUAUUACUUAUUACCCCUGAAGUCCUUGAGUUGAGUAGUUUAUGCCCAUAACUUUGCAUGAACCCUAUAAGUCGAGAAGUCUUGAGACGAGAAGUAUCUUUGAGUCCUUGAGUGAGUUGUUCAUGCCCAUAAUUCCGCAUGAACCCUCUGAGUCGAGCAUUCUUGAAACGAGUAUUACCAUUGAAGUUCUUGAGUUCUGAGUUAUUGAGUCUUGAGUAUUGAGUUCUAUGUAUGGUUAUUGAAAACCUUGAAUAGGGUCAUUCACAUCGAUAAUUCGGCAUGAACUUUAUUCUGAGAAGUCUUUUACAAAUUUUUCUAAAUUUGUUUUAAGACUUGAGCACUUGAGUUGAGAAAGAGAAAAGUCGAGUUCAUUUUCUUUAAAAUGAUAUAUGGGAACUAAGUAGUCCCAAGAGUAAAUGUUUUCACAUUUAAAAAAGUAGGAAACUGAGAUUUCCAAAAGAGUUUUGAGCAAUUUGAGUAACAUCUUUUUAGAGAAAGAUUUUGAGUAAUAACCUCAAACCACAGAGGAAGAGUUAUGUUUUAAACAUAUGAGCUGAGUAUAUUUUGGGAGUAGUAUUGAGCACCGAUAUGGGGGAGAGUUCAUAAUAACUCAAGUCUCCAUAAAUCAUGUAGUCAACGUGGAUAGAAAAGGUCACACUUUUUAGAUGAUUCCUUAAUGUUUUUUAGCAUAGACUAGUGGAUCCACUUAGUUGAGAGGUCUUAUACCUUAUGGGUAGAAGGGGUCAUACUUUUUAGAUGAUUCCUUAGUGCUUUUUAGCAUAGACUAGUGGAUCCACUUAGUUGAGAGGUUCUAUUCCCUGGCAAGGUAUAUGACAGUUUUGAUCGGUUAGAGAAACUCCCACAAAGUUAUAUUAUAUUUUGUUAUAUACAAGUUGAGUUGUUAUUGUGUUCUUCAAUACAUUGAGUUGCUAUCUAUUGUUUUAAAAGCUUUCCAUAUAUUGCAUCUUUUAUUGUUGCUUUAUUCUUGAGUAUCUUGAGUUGAAUUGUGCUUCAUUGAGUCGAGUACCAUAUUGUUGAGUUGAGCUCCAUUUCACUGAGUUGAGAACCUUAUUACUGAGUUGAGUAUCUUAUCCUUGAGUACUUCUGAGUUGAGUAAGUUUGAGUAGUUUUGAGUAUCCUCGAGUAUUCCUUGAGUUGAGUAAGUUUGAGAAGAGGUAAGUAUGUUUCUUUUCUACUAGUUCAAGCUUAUGUUAUGCUUUAGAUUUUCCCUUACAUGCUCGUACAUUCCAUGUACUGAGCCAUUUGGCCUGCAUCGUUUCAUGAUGUAGAUACAUGUAUUCAGAAUCAUCAACAGGAGCUUCGUUGAUACCACAUGAAGUUCGAGUUAGCUAUGGUGAGCCUUCUUGCUUCCGGAGGAUUCCAUUUACUUUCAGUUUUUUCAGGAUGUCGUAGGUCUUGUCCUGACUUCCAUCUUUGUCAUUUAGAGGCUUCAUAGAUAAACAAUAGAGUUUGAGAAGUCUAUUUCAUUUAUCUUAUUAAAUGUUUUAAAGAGUUGCGUAUUGUUGGCUAGUUCGAUAUAUUAUUUUAUUCAGAGUUAUUCAUUUGAGUUAAAGAUUUGAAAUUGAGUUCAAUGAAUUUUAUUCAGUUUUUAAGCUUUGUAUGCUUAAGUUAGUCUUCUGCUUGUAGUCAGCCAGGAUGAGGGUUCGCAUGGGGACCAACAAUGGUUCUCGAGUGCCGGCCACAUCUAGGGUGAGGCUCAGGUCGUGACACAUACACUCUAGGCUUUUAGUUUUACGUUUUAGUUUUGGGGUUGCAUCCUCAGUCUUGACUAUUUAAAGUUUGAUGACUUUCAGUUUCUAGGGGUUUUAUUUCCGCAUAAAUUCUUUGACUAUCGAUUGAGUUUAUGGGGACCCAAUUCGUUAGUUGGUUUUAAGUUGUUUUUUUAAUAAUUAUUUCAUGAAUUGGUUUUAAUAUUGGUGUACUGGGUUGGUUUAGGGUUGGUAAUUCGUUCUCCCACCAGGUGGUUUAGUGUGGGUACCACUCACGACGGUCCAGUGAUCCAUGAGAAUGAGUUUGAAUGUAUGAUCAUAGGAUAAAGUUAAUUUUGAAUGCAACAAGUGUAUAAGAUAUUGUCCUUUUCAACAUAAAAUAUAGGAUACAUGCCUUAUCAAUUGAUGACUUUGCCAUUAAACUCAUGUUUGUAGGCCACAUUUCCUCAUACGACUUAACCAUAAGCAUAAGGAACUGUCACUAAUGUACUCUACCAAUGCAGACGGAACCAAAUAUUGAUCAUGGUCAACUCAAAACCUAUGAAAAGCUUGAAUUCCAACCAAAGGUCUAAAAUGCCUCAAAAUUUUGGAAAAUCAUGUCAAACCUCCAACUAGUCCAUUAAUCAUUGGUCACAACAAUUAGACGAAUGGUGGAAGUAAAAUAAGAUCUCUUUCCAUGAUGAUGAUGUUGUACGUAACAAAUUAAAGAACUUCACAUAAUGUGAUUAGACCGUGUCCAUAGUUUUGAUCAAUUGAAAUUCAAACUGUAAUAUUUGUCCUUUCACCACUUUGAGAGACUAAGGUAUAAAUAUGGGAGAUAAAAGAAAGUCGUGUAAAUGCUAGAGCUUUUGAUGAAGCACGUAGGAGUCACUAGAAAAAUCUAUCUUGCGGAGCUAGCUGAAUUUAUGUAUUAUUUCAAGUAAUGGAUAUGUCGUCCACCUACAACCUAUUGAUGGUGUGCUCAUGAAGAGAUCAAGCAACUUGGAAGUCGAAAGAAACUCAUUGUGGUAGUCAACUUAGAACGAUAUGAGUCUGAAGAAUCAAAGAGGAGGUAACUGAGGCAAAUGUUGUGAGGUAAAAUAUUACUCCAUAUGGUUGGAAAACAUCAUGCCAGUGACAAAGAAGGAUUGGGAGAUCAAGCUAUGUGUGAAUGAAUUAUCGGUACCUCAACAAAGCAAGUCCAAAGGACGAUUUUUCUUUCCCAAACAUUCAUAUAUUCAUUGAUAAUUAUGCAAACAACAAGUUGCAGUCAUGGUUUCAGAAAUGGAUCAGCAUUACCCAAUUUUAGUGAACAUGGCAGAAUAUAGAGCUUGAAUUCUUGGACUUCGGAUGUCCAAGGACAUGAACAUCAAAGUAUACAAGUUUGUUAUGUCUCAAAAGUACUUCAGAAUCCUGGUACAAUUGACUUUGCAAGUGAUACCAACUUGUUCUUCAUAUGUUGUGAACAUGUUUGGCCACAUGUAUGAAAAUUAUAUGUGAAAAGCCUUUGAAAAAGGCAUGAAACUUUUUUAAAUCUGAAAUCAUAUAGGAAACAUUUCAGUGAAUACGAUUGCCAGAGGUAGAGAAGUUGUUUCCAGAGGAUCUUCGGCUCCCUCUUGACUUGGCAAGCUUACAAGUCUUGUCUUUCAGAAUGUUACCUCAUCCAAUACUUGUAAUUUUACACAAGUCAAAGAUUAUGGCAACCUACUGAUACUUUGUCUCAUAAUCAGAAAGAUAACAUUGUAUACACAGUUUCACCUUCUCCCACAACAUUAGACAUGGAUUGCUUCUUUGUAAGCUGCAGUACAGAUGUAUAUUACAAUAUAAAGGUAUUGAUUCUUGUGUAAUUACUAAGAAUAAUUGGCACAUGUACAAGUGAUGUAGAAGAAAAUACGAACCGACAUCACUCAGGUCACGAGCCUAUUUUUCAUUUCACCUCUAGAACCAAGAAACUCUUGGCUAGAUCUUUUGAAUACGCCUUCAUUUCGAAUUACCAAUCUGUGAUCGUGGUAUAUAACAAUGGUGUUUGUAGGAGUUAAGUAGCUGUCAAUUACCUUACUAACACAUGCAAAAUCACACUGUCUGGAUGCCAGCAAGUGAUGCCCAUCUGGAUCAGGAAUAUAGCUUUGUUUCCCUUGAGAGCACAGAUGAAGGCGUGGAAGUCCUUACUCGAAAUUCGUUUUUGUACUGUUGACUGUGUUAAGCUUGCACUUUCUGUC